AUGGAUAGUAGUCUCCGUAUUAUUUUCUGGAACACACGCGGCCUCAACUACCCGACGAAGCGUAGCGCCGUCCGUUUAGUCAUAUGGACCGCUCACCCCUCUGUGGUCUGUUUGCAAGAAACUAAGCUCGCUGAUGUUUCCCCUUACUUGGUUGCCGACUCCCUUGGGCACGAGUUCUCCAGCUUCUACCACCUUCCCGCUGAUGGCAUGCGUGGAGGCAUCAUCCUCGCAUGGCGCCCCUCCGAGAUCUUCCUUACCAACCCCUUCGUCGGGGCCCACUUCGUCGCGGCCUGCGCCACCAUCCCAGGCUCCGACUCCCAUUGGUGGAUCACGGGCGUCUAUGGCCCCCAGGACGAGGCGGGCAAAGCCUCCCUCCUCGCUGACCUCUCUAACUUCCGCGCCACACGGAUUGGCCCCUGA
rnacentral:rRNA from 1 species